ensembl:lncRNA
GUCAAAGGUGGUGAUCCUUCCCCCCUGCUCAGCCCUGGGGAGGCCACACCUGGAGUGCUGGGUCCAGUUCUGGGGCACCCAGUACAAGAGAGACAUGGACAUACUGCAGACAGACAUGGACCAUGAAGAUGCUGCAGGGCCUGGGAGUCCCUUUCCUGAGUGGUGUUGAAUAUUUGUGUUGCUGGAAGUAUAUGUGAGAGGAGAUGUAGAAAAUGUGGCAUCAUGGUUACUGGCAAGAUGUGCAGUGCCGAGGAGGAAAAUCUGAUGAGGAAUCCCCAGCAUCGUAAAUGGAUAAUGUGGUGUUGACUGGAGUGAGAAGCAGCAGCAUUUCCCAGCAAAGAGCACGCAUGCUGAGCUUCUGUGGCUGGUAAAACACAGCAGAUGACUUCUGAUACGUGCCAGUGUGUGAGGAGAAGGAAGCAUUUCCUGAGAACAGAUAUGUGAAGAUAUUCAGGCUCCCUUUAGGUACUAGAAGGCUGCAAUGAGGAC